UACGUAGGGGGCAAGCGUUGUCCGGAAUCAUUGGGCGUAAAGCGCGCGUAGGCGGCCCGGUAAGUCCGCUCUGAAAGUCCAGGGCUCAACCCUGGAAAGCGGGUGGAUACUGCCGGGCUAGAGUCCGGAAGAGGCGAGUGGAAUUCCUGGUGUAGCGGUGGAAAUGCGCAGAUAUCGGGAGGAACACCAAUGGCGAAGGCAGCUCGCUGGGACGGUACUGACGCUGAGACGGCGAAAGCG
rnacentral:rRNA from 1 species